GUGAACCGAGAAGGGUAUUCCUCCUUCCCCACCGGGGGGCAUUCCCUCUUCCCCCACCGGGGGCUGCUCCCAUCAUCACUUCUCAGAGGCGGAAUCCCACAUAGUUCACCAGGAGAAGAAGAAGCUUGGGUUCACAGGCCGAAUCCCAUAGAGCCAGGAGAGAGAAACCUUUUGGGUAUUUUGGGAAUAUUUUCCAAAGGAAGAAAUAAAGAAGGAAGGACCUGCUGCUGCUGUGCUGCUGCCGCCGUCCACCACUGCAUGGAAGCUUGAGCUCUUCUCCAGGGCAGGAUGCAGCCCUAACAAAGGAACACGGGUUUUAUAUUUUAUUUUAUAUUCUUGGGGUUGUAUGAACUUAUUAUUUUUAAUGAAUUUCUUUUUUUUGAAUCAUAUUUAAUUUCUGUGAUUUUAAGUAUGAUGUUCGUACAACUGUUCUUCUUGAUCACUAAGUAAAUAUAAGAUAGUCCAUGCUUAAGGAAGAUGCAGUGUGCUACCACCUUAGAUUAGGGUAGACAUUUCAUGCCAACUGAAGUUGGAUUAUGCCCAAAUUACUUUUGUGAAUUUUUAUUUAAAUGCUUAUUAGGCUUGUAGCCAAUUUGCAUGUUAAUCCAAGAACGAAAUAAAAUAUAAAUAACCCUUGUUCCGAUGUUAGUGGUG
rnacentral:lncRNA from 1 species